ensembl:lncRNA
GCAGGAAAACACAACACUGGGUGGCGCUGUUCCCACAGCUGUGCGACUGAACGACGAGCUACUCGCCAGUCAUCAAGCGGAUAGAAGGCUAGCCAGUAUUAUCAAGUCAGCUACGGUUUGGAUGUGCUAGCAGAGGGGAAACAGACUGUCCUCUACAUGUCCUUAACAAGCCGGUCUCUAGGGACCGUCAGUGACACGGCUGUCUUCCGAUCACUAAUCUAUCAUCAUUUGGACAGAUUAGUAAGCAAACAACCUGUACUCUCUGGCUGGACUGCAGUACUGUGAGUGGAGAAGGACUGACCUGAGACCUGAUGAUGAUGGGUAUUUGGGAUAGUGAAGAGUGAAGAGAAGGGACAUGUCAUGCCAUUUCACAACAACCUCAGGGAAAGUGUCGGUUGCCAGAGCUCAGGAUGAGAGCGAACAGAGUGCCAUCUGCCAAGGGCAAACCUCAUCCCAGUGAAAGCAUGACAAGAGAGUGACAAGAGGGUCAUUCCUGUCAUGCAGAA